rnacentral:lncRNA from 1 species
GCCCAGGAGAAGGUGAUCUGUGUCGACGCCCAGGGGAAGGUGAUCUACGUCGGCGCACUGGAGAAGGUGAUCUACGCCGACGCACUGGAGAAGGUGAUCUACGUCGUCGCACAGGAGAAGGUGAUCUACGUCGUCGCACAGGAGAAGGCGAUCUACGUCGUCGCACAGGAGAAGGCGAUCUACGUCGUCGCACAGGAGAAGGCGAUCUACGUCGUCGCACAGGAGAAGGCGAUCUAUGUCGUCGAACAGGAGAAGGUGAUCUACGUCGUCGAAAAGAUGGUGAUCUACGAUGGACUGGAGAAUGCAUUCUGCGUCGUUCAGGAGAAGGAGAUCUAGAUCUUCUUGAAUAAGGU